ACAAUAUAUGAAAUUAAAAUUUAGGUUAAAUUACAGAAAAACUUCUUGUCAAAAUUCAAUUUUUUACUUCCUCUCUUAUCAUUUAAAAACCUACACUUGUCCUCUUAUAAAAUAAAAAAAAAUAUUCACAGGGAUACGGUGUGAACUGUGAUGACAAAAUGACCAUUUUGUUCCUCACUAUUUUGCAGCUCGAUCACCAUGUUCACAGGAGAGAAGACAUUGAGGGCAUUUUUGGCAUAAAAAAAUAUAUAAUAAUAUUUUAUAAACGGAAUCCUAACGGAUUACUAACGAUAAGGGUAAAGUUAAUAUUUUUUAUUUUACAAGAGGGCAAAAUGUAGGUUUUUAAAUGAUAGAAAAAAAAAGUGAAAAAUCGAAUUUUGAAAGAAGGAUUUUAUGUAUUUUAGCCUAGAAUUUAGAAAAUCAAU
rnacentral:lncRNA from 1 species